ensembl:snRNA U6 U6 spliceosomal RNA
GUGCCCAUCAUGACGGCACAUAUACUAACAUUGUAAUGAUACAAAGAUUAACGUAACCCUUGUACAAGGAAGAAACACAAAUUCAUGAAGCAUUUCAUACACAU